GCCGAGGUCCUCUUCUAGGAUUGGUUGUCCACUCAUAACCAUAAGAUAAUUAAAACGGGGGGGGGCAGGGUAAAAAAAAAACCCUUUUAUCAGCCAUAGGUUAAUGCAAGUGUUUAACAGAUGCUUCGCUAUUAAAAUAUUUCCCCCCAAUACUGAAGAAUCUUAAACCAGCAACCCUAACAGAGAUUGCGAAGAUUUUCAAAGUGGGGCACCUCGAUUUCUCGAAUCUGUGGUGUGGCGAAUAUCCGUGUUCCUCCUGCUUAACUAGCCUGUUUGGUCUGAUUCUAUUUAUUCUAAAGACAGAGUUGGAGAUGGGCUACCAUUGGUGUUGAUUGAGAUGACAAGCAGUCACCUGAGCCCAUACAGCUGUGGGAGAAAGUGCUUGCUGCCAAGCUUGAUGACCUAAAUUGAAUACCUGGAACCUACACGACAGAAAGAGAGAGCUGACUGCUGAAAGAUGUCCUCAGAUCUUCACAUGUGCACAGUGGCACCUAUCCAACCAUGCACAUAGUAUAUUAAAAAUUAUUUUUUAAAAAA
rnacentral:lncRNA from 1 species